UGCUGCAGGCCAACAUCGUUCAGAUGCCCAGUUUAACCUGAUUUUGCAAUCUUAAUGCUCCACGUCUUUAAAUGUGCUGUUUCAGUAUCCUCUAUCAAAGUCUAUGACCUGUCUUAAAAAAGCUGAGGAAGGAAAAGGAGACUGAUGAAACAUUUCUGAAGAGUUGGAAUAUGAGGAUGUACAAGAAAGAAAUUUGUAAGCCUUGAUCACAAGGCUUGUGUUACCACACUGGAUCAAUCUAGCUCAGUCCUGGGUGCUCAGAACAGAACCUAAGGAUUCAAGAGUGUGCAUCCAUUUCCCUAAUAUACAAGUCACCCUGAAAUGGUUCCAUCCAUAAAUAUGGUCAAUCAGAAAUUUCUAAGGCUUUGGAUUUGCCUACUGCAGUUGAAACAAGGCGUGCCUAUUGAAGUGGAUCCUCAGUAAAAUGACUAAUCACAAAUGAAGAUUUAGAAGAUAAAGAACUUUGCCAAAAACCUCAGAUGCAAGAAAGAAUGAGCUAUUCUGAUACUAAAACAAAACAAACUUAUAAAAACAGGUUAUUCUACCAGGGCUAUGGCAACAUCUCCUGCCUUCUGUACUAAUACUGCUCUCUUAAACAUUUGUAGGGCAGCUACCUGGUUGAUGCCUAGCACCUUCACCAGGUAUUACAAAAAUAAAUAUGUACAGCUCAGCUGAAGCAGCUUUUGACCACAGAAUGCUGCAGCAGUCUGGCUUAAAUAAUAAAUUCUGUUCUAAAGUUCCUACAAGUAUUGUUGGUAAUUAAUAACUAGCAAUAUUAUUUAUUUAUUUUGACAGUUUGUAUGCUGAUUAAUUACAAUAAUCCCUAAGCGCUGUACAAUAAGCUUAACAAAUACAAUAUCAGAAAUGUCUUAAAAUGCCUGCUGAAAUAAAAAGGUAUUAAC